GCAAGAUCUGAUCACAAUCAGAAUGUGGACAAGAUCAGUAUCAAGGACGCAAGUUUGAACCAGCUGUAAACAGGUCUUCUGUCUGUGAAUAUUGAGAAGGGCUGGUGGUUGUGGACGGUUGGCUGUGGAUUGGAGACAGAUGUGCUUGUGGAAACCGCUCUUGGGUGGUGCAAAAUAGAUCAACUGCCUCACAUGGGGUUGGAAAAGCAAAACAAUGGUUCACUCCAAGCCUCCCGCGACCGUGUUGCUCUAACGGUCAUUCAGAGUCAACUGUGACCGCUCUCAAUGGCAAACACUGUUGUCCCUCCCUUUAGUACCUGACUUAUCCUGCCCCUGUCCAGUUAAGUGGUGGAAAGUUUGGGAGAUGUGAACUCUGAUAGAGAAAUAGAUCAACCUCCACGAACAGGUUGGUGUAUUGGGGCGGCCUGUUCUGUCCUCAGACUAAAGCAAGAUGAUGUUUAAAGCUCACUAUGGAUCUACAAACAGUGUCAACUUGAAUUUGAGUGUGGCUGUGGAAGAUGGAUCCCUUCAUGAUGUAUGCAAGUGGCUGAGUACCAAUGAUCUCCGUGAUUCCAUCCCAUCAAGUUCACAGCUGCAGCAAACAGCCCAGCAAAAUGGCACACCAAUUGGCCUUCAGCAUGACAUAUCAACUGGCCAGCAACAGGACACAUCAAUCAGCCAAAGAGUCUGGCCACCUGUGUUUAGACUUCCAGGAUUUCCAGCCGUAUUCAAAUUCAAACGGGGAGGAGAAAAUUGCGAUGAUCUCCAUCGCCCUACUGUGCACUCGAAGUGGAGGUCUCGGAUUGUGCAGGUGUUCGAACGUCAUGUGUACCUACACUUGGUAACCCGCUACCCGGCAAUACAUGGAUGUGUGCACAGCGCUCAUUCAAAAGUACCCCUCGUUGAGAGACCAGACAGGGAAGUGAUAUGUAAGAAUUCUUCAGUUUUUCUACUCAUAUUAAUUCACACUAAUAAACUAUUUACACCAUUGUGCCUACCCAGAACAUAAUGUGCUGGCUUGCAUAUUUUCGUCUCACAUUGUUAAACCAUCACAUUUCCAGGAGCACAACAAGACCGUCUUCGGUCUGCUUCUCUGAUCUCAGUCCCGAUAAUCCAUCAUGGCAUUUCUCCUCUCCACAUUUUUAUUAUGGCACGACAUUAUAAAGAAAAAUGCAAAAAAAGAACGUCAGCCGCUUGCUCACGUUGCACAAGUACAAGAAAUGCAGAAGAGGUUUGGGAGGCAAGGGGAAAAAAAAUAAGCCCAAAUUACACCAAAUAUUAAGACCCGAUUUUUAAAUAGCCAAGGUGAGCGCAUACAAAUAAUUACCCACAUUCAGUGUGUCAAAGUCAAACCGCUGAUCCCGGAUCAGUUUUUAAGAUCAUAAAUGCCAUUGUAUGGACAGGUGGGGACCUGGCCCUAGAUCAGCACUCUGAGAUGCUUUGUGAAUACUGCACUUUUUGCAUUUUUUAAUCGAAUUUGAUCGUGUUUGACGCUGUAUGUAAAGAAUAUUUGAUCCAUAUUUAUAUUUGAUUUUCAGACUCAGACUGAGGAUCCCUUCAGUCAGAAGUUACAUGUUGAAAAGAUGCAGGAGGAGUGCCAAAACAAGAGACGGAACAUAAGUUCCCUACAAGACCACAUGAAAAAGACUGAGAGAGAACUUUUUUAUAAAACAACAAGGCAUCAAGGCCAUCUUAAAACAGUACCCAGCACUCUGUGUCGUCGGCCAUUGUAAGCAGACAAAAAGUCUGAUAGAAAGAAAUGGUAAAAAGCAUAACUAAUGUAACAUAACCAGGUACUUCCAUCUGAAUCAAAGAUAUAUUGAUGAUGCAUUAGAAACAAAUUGACUUUCAGAUUUUAUGCGAGAUGAGAAGCAAAUUCGGUGUGGACUGAAACAUUCUGUCCGGAUAUGGCACAAUGGCCGACCAAAUCAGUGCAGAAACGGAGAGGAGGGGUGUGGCCGUGGAGUUGAUGAAUCUCUACACGACGGCACUUCUCUCACAAACGGAGGAGGCUCCCUAAGGUUAUUUUCUUAACGUUACUGCAUGUACCCUUAACAGAAUGGAGCCAUUCUAAAUGUAUUUAUUCUUACCCAGCCUUUGUAUUGCACUCCCAUUUAAGGUCGGAAGGUCACUGCAGCCACUUUGCUCCUCCCCUACCUUUUCAAAGAAGAUCCGAGUGGGCUGUACGUCACAGACAGGGUAUUAUUUCCCAGCAGACAAAUAUAUGAAUGCAAAUAUAGUAGUACUGAGUAAGGUGUGCUGUGCUCAGUUGUUAAUUUACUGUUUGAAAUAUGACAUGAGUAACCUUCAUUUAAAAAAUGCGUACUUCUUCAGUGUGUUAAGUUCCCAUUUACCUACCAUAAGAAUAGAGAUCCAUUUGCGGAUGAGAGCCACAUCCAACUCUUCCUGGAUGGAGAGGAGCGACUCACUGAAGAGCAGGAGGACAUCUCCAUGGGUUUGGGAGUGGCAAUGGGGGUCCGUUUCCUUUUUAAUACUGAGUAUGCAGCAUCAGGGAAAAGCACUAUGCUGUUCAUUCAGAAAUGGUGUUCUGGGAAUUGAUGUGGGGGGGUAAAUUAACAACAAAUGUUGUACUAAUGGCAAACUUUUUGCUGUAGAGCGGGAUAAGGGAGACUAGAGUUUUCUGUGAUGUCUGCAAAUUAGAUUUCUGGGACUUUUAAAGUCAAUAAAAUGAAUUUGUGACUUUACAAGAUCACCA
ensembl:lncRNA